GACGGAGGAUGCAAGUGUUAUCCGGAAUCACUGGGCGUAAAGCGUCUGUAGGUGGUUUAAAAAGUCCACUGUUAAAAAUUGAAGCUUAACUUCAAAGAUGCCGUAGAAACUUUUAAACUUGAGUAUGAUAGGGGUAGAGGGAAUUUCCAGUGGAGCGGUGAAAUGCGUAGAUAUUGGAAAGACCACCAAUGGCGAAGGCACUCUACUGGGCCAUUACUGACACUGGGAGACGAAAGCUAGGGGAGCAAAUGGG
rnacentral:rRNA from 1 species